GUUCUUUGGGAACUAAAAUCUUAUAUUUAACCACAGGAAAGGUACAGUAUAGGCAGCGGCAGUGCAAGUUUCCUUACACAAUCCCCUCAGAAUGUCUCAAAGGCAUCCUAUAGGAAUCAGAGUAGAUCCCCAGGUGGUGUAAAUUGGAAUAAUUCAAUUGAUUUCCAUUGAAGUCAAUGGCGCUA
rnacentral:sRNA from 1 species